rnacentral:rRNA from 1 species
AACUCUAAGCGGUGGAUCACUUGGCUCAUGGGUCGAUGAAGAACGCAGCAAACUGUGCGUCAUCGUGUGAACUGCAAGACACUUGAACAUCGACAUUUUGAACGCAUAUCGCAGUCCAUGCUGUUAUGGUAAGUGGAGUUUUA